rfam:Synechococcus sp. CC9311, complete genome.
GCGGUUGUGGCGGAAUUGGUAGACGCGCAUGUUUCAGGUACAUGUGUCUUCGGACGUGGGAGUUCAAGUCUCCCUAACCGCA